rnacentral:tRNA from 1 species
GGGACGAUGGGUUAGUGGCUAUACUUCGGGCUUUGGGUGCCCGGUACCCCGGUUCGAAUCCGGGUCGUCCCA